UUAAGCGACUAAGCGUACACGGUGGAUGCCCUGGCAGUCAGAGGCGAUGAAGGACGUGCUAAUCUGCGAUAAGCGUCGGUAAGGUGAUAUGAACCGUUAUAACCGGCGAUUUCCGAAUGGGGAAACCCAGUGUGUUUCGACACACUAUCAUUAACUGAAUCCAUAGGUUAAUGAGGCGAACCGGGGGAACUGAAACAUCUAAGUACCCCGAGGAAAAGAAAUCAACCGAGAUUCCCCCAGUAGCGGCGAGCGAACGGGGAGCAGCCCAGAGCCUGAAUCAGUGUGUGUGUUAGUGGAAGCGUCUGGAAAGGCGCGCGAUACAGGGUGACAGCCCCGUACACAAAAAUGCACAUGCUGUGAGCUCGAUGAGUAGGGCGGGACACGUGGUAUCCUGUCUGAAUAUGGGGGGACCAUCCUCCAAGGCUAAAUACUCCUGACUGACCGAUAGUGAACCAGUACCGUGAGGGAAAGGCGAAAAGAACCCCGGCGAGGGGAGUGAAAAAGAACCUGAAACCGUGUACGUACAAGCAGUGGGAGCACAGAGCAAUCUGUGUGACUGCGUACCUUUUGUAUAAUGGGUCAGCGACUUAUAUUCUGUAGCAAGGUUAACCGAAUAGGGGAGCCGAAGGGAAACCGAGUCUUAACUGGGCGUUAAGUUGCAGGGUAUAGACCCGAAACCCGGUGAUCUAGCCAUGGGCAGGUUGAAGGUUGGGUAACACUAACUGGAGGACCGAACCGACUAAUGUUGAAAAAUUAGCGGAUGACUUGUGGCUGGGGGUGAAAGGCCAAUCAAACCGGGAGAUAGCUGGUUCUCCCCGAAAGCUAUUUAGGUAGCGCCUCGUGAAUUCAUCUCCGGGGGUAGAGCACUGUUUCGGCAAGGGGGUCAUCCCGACUUACCAACCCGAUGCAAACUGCGAAUACCGGAGAAUGUUAUCACGGGAGACACACGGCGGGUGCUAACGUCCGUCGUGAAGAGGGAAACAACCCAGACCGCCAGCUAAGGUCCCAAAGUCAUGGUUAAGUGGGAAACGAUGUGGGAAGGCCCAGACAGCCAGGAUGUUGGCUUAGAAGCAGCCAUCAUUUAAAGAAAGCGUAAUAGCUCACUGGUCGAGUCGGCCUGCGCGGAAGAUGUAACGGGGCUAAACCAUGCACCGAAGCUGCGGCAGCGACGCUUAUGCGUUGUUGGGUAGGGGAGCGUUCUGUAAGCCUGUGAAGGUGUGCUGUGAGGCAUGCUGGAGGUAUCAGAAGUGCGAAUGCUGACAUAAGUAACGAUAAAGCGGGUGAAAAGCCCGCUCGCCGGAAGACCAAGGGUUCCUGUCCAACGUUAAUCGGGGCAGGGUGAGUCGACCCCUAAGGCGAGGCCGAAAGGCGUAGUCGAUGGGAAACAGGUUAAUAUUCCUGUACUUGGUGUUACUGCGAAGGGGGGACGGAGAAGGCUAUGUUGGCCGGGCGACGGUUGUCCCGGUUUAAGCGUGUAGGCUGGUUUUCCAGGCAAAUCCGGAAAAUCAAGGCUGAGGCGUGAUGACGAGGCACUACGGUGCUGAAGCAACAAAUGCCCUGCUUCCAGGAAAAGCCUCUAAGCAUCAGGUAACAUCAAAUCGUACCCCAAACCGACACAGGUGGUCAGGUAGAGAAUACCAAGGCGCUUGAGAGAACUCGGGUGAAGGAACUAGGCAAAAUGGUGCCGUAACUUCGGGAGAAGGCACGCUGAUAUGUAGGUGAAGUCCCUCGCGGAUGGAGCUGAAAUCAGUCGAAGAUACCAGCUGGCUGCAACUGUUUAUUAAAAACACAGCACUGUGCAAACACGAAAGUGGACGUAUACGGUGUGACGCCUGCCCGGUGCCGGAAGGUUAAUUGAUGGGGUUAGCGCAAGCGAAGCUCUUGAUCGAAGCCCCGGUAAACGGCGGCCGUAACUAUAACGGUCCUAAGGUAGCGAAAUUCCUUGUCGGGUAAGUUCCGACCUGCACGAAUGGCGUAAUGAUGGCCAGGCUGUCUCCACCCGAGACUCAGUGAAAUUGAACUCGCUGUGAAGAUGCAGUGUACCCGCGGCAAGACGGAAAGACCCCGUGAACCUUUACUAUAGCUUGACACUGAACAUUGAGCCUUGAUGUGUAGGAUAGGUGGGAGGCUUUGAAGUGUGGACGCCAGUCUGCAUGGAGCCGACCUUGAAAUACCACCCUUUAAUGUUUGAUGUUCUAACGUUGACCCGUAAUCCGGGUUGCGGACAGUGUCUGGUGGGUAGUUUGACUGGGGCGGUCUCCUCCUAAAGAGUAACGGAGGAGCACGAAGGUUGGCUAAUCCUGGUCGGACAUCAGGAGGUUAGUGCAAUGGCAUAAGCCAGCUUGACUGCGAGCGUGACGGCGCGAGCAGGUGCGAAAGCAGGUCAUAGUGAUCCGGUGGUUCUGAAUGGAAGGGCCAUCGCUCAACGGAUAAAAGGUACUCCGGGGAUAACAGGCUGAUACCGCCCAAGAGUUCAUAUCGACGGCGGUGUUUGGCACCUCGAUGUCGGCUCAUCACAUCCUGGGGCUGAAGUAGGUCCCAAGGGUAUGGCUGUUCGCCAUUUAAAGUGGUACGCGAGCUGGGUUUAGAACGUCGUGAGACAGUUCGGUCCCUAUCUGCCGUGGGCGCUGGAGAACUGAGGGGGGCUGCUCCUAGUACGAGAGGACCGGAGUGGACGCAUCACUGGUGUUCGGGUUGUCAUGCCAAUGGCACUGCCCGGUAGCUAAAUGCGGAAGAGAUAAGUGCUGAAAGCAUCUAAGCACGAAACUUGCCCCGAGAUGAGUUCUCCCUGACNGUCCUGAAGGAACGUUGAAGACGACGACGUUGAUAGGCCGGGUGUGUAAGCGCAGCGAUGCGUUGAGCUAACCGGUACUAAUGAACCGUGAGGCUUAACCUU
rnacentral:rRNA from 1 species